rnacentral:lncRNA from 1 species
UGCAGCUAAGUAUAUAUCAUUAGAAAUCUAUCAUGUAAUAUUCAAUAUAAUAGUGGAAUUGGUUAAUUGUAAAUUGUAAAUAAAAAUUACAUAUUUAUUGUGCAUAUCUAGUAGUCGAGGUUAAGAAGUGCUGAUUAUAAUUAAAAUAAAUCAAAUAGGUAUUAAUGUAAAAACUACUGAGGAAAAAAUGCAUGUUGAUCAGUGUCAUUUCUGGUGAAUGAGUUUUUUUUGGUGAAUGUCUUGAUUAAACCAUGCAAGUGCUUGUCUUCUGAAGUUGCUUACGAAUACUCUUGUCUUGUUCUUUAAUUAAGUGCCAUAUGAAGCAAGAAAUCCUGCCCAUAGUGUUUGGAAGAGAAAUAGGAUUAUUAAAUAUAGCAUUUCAUAUUAAGUGGAUGACAUAUACUUAGCUGCAUAGGAAUUAUGGAUUCACAUAAUCUGAAAGACAUCAAACUAAAGCAUUAAUCUAAGCCAAGCAUUUUAUCUCAUUUCUAUAUAUUUCGUUCUUAUUCCAUAAUAUUAUUGUUUUGGAAUUGGUUAAUUGUAAAUUGUAAAUAAAAAUUACAUAUUUAUUGUGCAUAUCUAGUAGUCGAUGUUAAGAAGUGCUGAUUAUAAUUAAAAUAAAUCAAAUAGGUAUUAAUGUAAAAACUACUGAGGAAAAAAUGCACGUUGAUCAGUGUCAUUUCUGGUGAAUGAGUUUUUUUUUGGUGAAUGUCUUGAUUAAACCAUGCAAGUGCUUGUCUUCUGAAGUUACUUACGAAUACUCUUGUCUUGUUCUUUAAUUAAGUGCCAUAUGAAGCAAGAAAUCCUGCCCAUAGUGUUUGGAAGAGAAAUAGGAUUAUUAAAUAUAGCAUUUCAUAUUAAGUGGAUGACAUAUACUUAGCUGCAUAGGAAUUAUGGAUUCACCUAAUCUGAAAGACAUCAAACUAAAGCAUUAAUCUAAGCCAAGCAUUUUAUCUCAUUUCUAUAUAUUUCGUUCUUAUUCCAUAAUAUUAUUGUUUUGGAAUUGGUUAAUUGUAAAUUGUAAAUAAAAAUUACAUAUUUAUUGUGCAUAUCUAGUAGUCGAUGUUAAGAAGUGCUGAUUAUAAUUAAAAUAAAUCAAAUAGGUAUUAAUGUAAAAACUACUGAGGAAAAAAUGCACGUUGAUCAGUGUCAUUUCUGGUGAAUGAGUUUUUUUUGGUGAAUGUCUUGAUUAAACCAUGCAAGUGCUUGUCUUCUGAAGUUACUUAC